rnacentral:rRNA from 1 species
UACGGAGGGGGCAAGCGUUGUUCGGAAUUACUGGGCGUAAAGGGCUCGUAGGCGGCUUAUUAAGUCAGACGUGAAAUCCCUCAGCUUAACUGGGGAACUGCGUCUGAUACUGGAUGGCUUGGAUGCGGGAGAGGAAUGCGGAAUUCCAGGUGUAGCGGUGAAAUGCGUAGAUAUCUGGAGGAACACCGGUGGCGAAGGCGGCAUUCUGGACCGAUAUUGACGCUGAGGAGCGAAAGCCAGGGGAGCAAACGGG